rnacentral:rRNA from 1 species
AACGAACGCUGGCGGCAUGCCUAACACAUGCAAGUCGAACGAGACCUUCGGGUCUAGUGGCGCCCGGUUGCGUAACGCGUGGGAACCUGCCCUUAGGUUCGGAAUAACUCCCCGAAAGGGGUGCUAAUACCGGAUAAUGUCUUCGGACCAAAGAUUUAUCGCCUUUGGAUGGGCCCGCGUUGGAUUAGCUAGUUGGUAGGGUAAAAGCCUACCAAGGCGACGAUCCAUAGCUGGUCUGAGAGGAUGAUCAGCCACACUGGGACUGAGACACGGCCCAGACUCCUACGGGAGGCAGCAGUGGGGAAUAUUGGGCAAUGGGCGAAAGCCUGAUCCAGCAAUGCCGCGUGAGUGAUGAAGGCCUUAGGGUUGUAAAGCUCUUUUACCCGGGAUGAUAAUGACAGUACCGGGAGAAUAAGCUCCGGCUAACUCCGUG